GCAGGUAGGAGCUGCUGGGACCCCCGCCCUCAGCCCAUCCGCAUCCGCAUCCCUAGAGGAAAGGGGUGUGGGAGUGGGGGCUGGGGCACUGGGGAGACAACCAGAGGGAGGGCAGCAGCCUGAAGCGGAGAGACAGGGAUCUGGGGACGCGAGACAGGUAUGGAGAAGACAAAGAGCCGAGGGCGGGGAGUGAGGCGCAGGCGGAGGGGAGAGGGAGAGACCCUGGAGACAGAGGCCAGGCGAUAGGGAAGAGAGACAGGCGGGUUGGGGAGGCAGACACAGGGAAGACGCCUAUGUGGGGUCAAGAGACAGCGUGGAGACCGAGGCGGUCACGAGAGCAGCACGGAUGCGUGGAGAGACCAACAGGCCAAGAAGGAUGAGGGGGCUCAGCACAGGCACCGGGCAGCCCCCGACCCGCCCUCCAGCAAAACUGGGGAGAGGGAAGAGGGAACGUGCGUCUCAGCUCCCAGGACCAGGUGCGGAGGGAGCAGUCGGCUGUGGGCGCUCGGACCACAGGCUGCCCCCUCCCCACCUCGCGGGACCUCAGGAUCCCAGUCGGGCUAUUGGGGGGUUCCCAGGCACCGGUGGGCCCCGGAGCGAGCCUGCCCCGCCGGGACUCCGCGUCUGUGCGUCAGCCCCGCCCGUUGUCCUGGCAACAACCCGUUGCCCGGGCAACCAGCUUUGCUCUCACCCCGCUUGAGAGGAGCCCGGCUGUUGCUCUGGGCAACGCGGUCUGCUGGUUCCCACGCCUGCCUUCGCCCGCUUCCGGUUCAGACCCUGCGGAGGGGCGAGGACGAGGCAGAAGUCAGCGGGAUGCCUGUGGGGCCGUGGAGGAAGAGGGUAUCCCUUUGGGAUGGAACUAGGUCCUGGACACCCCCUCUCAAGUGCGGGGAGGCUGAUACUACAACUCCCAGCAUGACUCGCGGUGGCUCUCUGGUUUCUACGCGGCUGUUCGCGCAAGGGCCUCAUGGGAGUUGGAGUUCUUUGUUGUGCAUGGGGCUCAAAGGACGUCUGGGGUGGGAAUGGGGGACUAGGGUGCUUGAGUGUCUCUGCAGAAAAGACUCUAGGACCCCGCCACCAUGUUCCCGGAGCCCCCAACCCCGGGGCCUCCAUCGCCCGACACGCCUCCCGACUCCAGUCGCAUCAGCCACGGCCCAGUGCCCCCCUGGGCCCUGGCCACCAUCGUGCUGGUCUCAGGCCUCCUCAUCUUCAGCUGCUGUUUCUGUCUCUACCGGAAGAGCUGUCGGAGGCGGACAGGCAAGAAGAGCCAGGCCCAAGCCCAGGUCCACCUUCAGGAAGUGAAGGGGCUGGGCCAGAGUUACAUAGACAAGGUGUGGCCCAGCCCAGCCCCUCCACCUGGCCCCUUCUCGCACCCUGCUCCUCUCAAUGGCCCAGCUGGUCCCAGUCCCUGCUCCCUUCCGUCCUAUAGGAACCCACCUUACUGGCUCAUCCUCCCUGUGUGUCUAGCCCUCAACUGGACUCUGGGGACCCGGAGAUGGAACAGAAGUAGUUGCUAUUCCCAAGAACUUCCCAGUCUGGUGGGAGAGUCAGGCACUGACACAGACACUCACCACACAGGGUAAUAUGUGCCAUACUACAGGGUCUCAUAGGAGCACAGAAAAGGCAUCCCACUGUAUAGAAACCUACAGAAACAUAUAAAUAUUUGGCUCUGGGCCGGGUGCGGUGGCUCACGCCUGUAAUCCUAGCACUUGGGAGGCUGAGGUGGACAGAUUGCCUGAGGUCAUGAAUUCAAGACUAGCCUGGGCAACAUGAUGAAACCCUGUCUCUACUAAAAAUACAAAAGCCAGCCAUGGUGGCAUGGUAUAAUCCCAGCUACUCGAGAGGCUGAGGCACUGAAACCGGGAGGUGGAGGCUGCAGUGAGCUGUGAUCGUGCCACUGCACUCCAGCCUGGGUGACA
rnacentral:lncRNA from 1 species